UUUCGAAAAGGCAACACACACACACACCCCCACACCCACACACACCCAUCAUGGGAGCUUCCCAUCAGGUUGAGCUUUGUCGGCCCCACUAAAAUCUAUUUCAGACAUCUACCCCAUCAAUCAGAUGCACACUUGCAUGGUGGGCCACGGGCCUAAAAAUCAGGCCAAUGAAUGACUUAGGUGGGCCACACCAUAGACAACAGUUGAGAGUAGAUACCCACCCAUUGAAACCUUCAUGAUCAAUGGGGUCCACUAAGAUGUGGAUCAGACAUCCAGCCCAUCCAUUGUGUGUGUGUGUGUGUGUGUGUUUCUUAGGCACUGAUGCCCAAGAGCACAUUCUUUGUGUGGGCGGAAAUGGUUGUGGAUAAUAUGCACUGCCUCCCUCUCUGCUAAACAGAGGGCCAUAAUCCUAGAAUUUGCUGUGAUUGCCGAUUGGGACUGAAAUGCCAUCAACACAGAUGCGGCCUCAUCUAAGAGUAACCCAUUGAUCCCAACAUCCACUAAAAAUCUGUCCUUUGCCAAUGAGAAGCACUCUUUUAGAGGAAUUGGCAUUACUUUCGUACUUCCCCAGCCAUUGCCUCCGAUUACCCUUAAAAGUUGACAUCGGCAAACAGCUUCCCAAUAUAUGAGAUUGCUCAUAAUUCCCCGACGAAUUUUCUCAAUUGAUGCUUCUAGUCCUUUGAAAAUGCAAGCAUUUGUUUCGGCCCAAAUCUCCCAGAAAACUGAGAACGGAGUGACUGACCACGGAAUUUUGCCCUUAUUUUAAACCGCCAACCUUCCCAGCUGUAUUUCUCGUCAAGCAACUUAUCCUUGAAGACCCAUGAAACUCCAAAGGAUGGUAGAUUUAUAGACCAAACUGAUAUUGCACAGGGUUAUUUUAGGAGAAGAUGAGACACUGAUUCUUCAUUAUGCUUACACAGCAUGCAGUUAUUUCAGAACUUGAAACCACUUUUUUGAAGCUGAUCUUGAGUUAGGAUAGAUUGCAGCCCUCGGAUCGGGAGAGGUUAUCAGCCAGGCAGGUCAGGUGGACAGUAAUCCAGAGGCUUUGACAGAUCUAUGGGUAGCCCAAAUGGUCAUCCCCUUGGCAGUUGAAGAUUGGGAAGUGUAUAUGGGAGAAGGGGUAGGGAACGCUGAACAUUUAAACGUAGCAAUCGAUACUUUAUCUUUGUGGAACCCACAGACCGGAAAGGUUUCUAUGGCACAGGGGAUGGCACGUAUCAGGAAGGUAAUGUUGGAGAUGGCAUGUUUGGUGGGUAUCACAUUUGAUGAUAGGCCAGAGGAUUAUGUGGCCCUAUUUGAAUUUGUUGAAGAGGGAGGUAGAUACCGAUGCAAGAUAUAAAUGAUGAUAGCAAUAGAGAAAGGCUGAGAUCGGAAUUUUGAAGUGUCAACGAGUUGCGGCAGAUUGCAGAAAUGUCUAACAAAGGGAAAAUGGAUGAAACAAUGAAGAUAGCAAGCUGGGAUGUAAGGGAUCUGGGGUGUGUGCAAAAAAGAAUCCAAGUCAGGGAUAUGUGCAAAAGGUGCAAAAUUCAGAUGGUGGCGUUCCACGAAACUAAGUUGCAAGGAACAGAUCAGGCCAUCGUGAAAUCGCUAUGGUGGGGUAAACAGACUGAAUGGAAAGCUCUCGAUGUGAAUGUGGCAGCAGGUAGAUUCUUGGAAGGGUCAAUUUUCUGUAUCUCUGUUACUAAGAGACAUCUCAACAGGUUUUCGAUGGGUAUUCACGGUGGUGUAGGGUCUGAACAGGCUGAAUCUAAGAUCACAAUUUUGGGAUGAGUUAGAUGCUUGUCAUAAUAGGUGGCUUUUGCCGUGGUGUGUGGGAGGUGACUUUAAUGUCAUUCGAUUUGUGUAUGAAAAUCGAACGGGGAAAGAAUAACCCGAAGCAUGAAUUGUUUUUUUCGGAAUGGAUUGUAAAGAAUAAGAUGGUUAAUUUACCAAUGGGAAGACUGAAGUUUACAUGGUUAAAUGGGCAAGCUAAAUUGAUCAAAUAAAAGUUAGACCAUUUCUUAUUGUCAUUGGAUUGGGUGGAAGAAUUUUCAUUAGUGCAUCAAAGAGGUUUUGCCAAGACCAAUAUCCGACCAUUGUUCAAUCAUGUUAGAAUUGGAUGAGGAGGAUUGGCACCCUUGCCCAUUCAGAUUUGAGCUCGCAUGGUUAGAAAUAGAAGGUUUCUCGGAAAAGGUGAUUGAAUGGUGGUCUUCCUUUUCGGUUCAAGGAAAAGCAGGAUUUGUGUUGUUCCAAAAACUCAAGAUGUUAAAAAGAAAAUAAAUGAAUGGAGAAAAGAGUGCUUAGGGAUCUGAGUGGAAGAAACAUAAAAAUGCUGCAAGACAUUCAGUUUUUUUUAUUUAAAAGAAGCAGGAGAGUUAUCGGAAGAGGAGAGGGCAUGGUGGGAGGUACAUAGGCAAAGUAUAAUGUGAAACUAAGAGAGGAUGAAAUAAAACGGAGGUAAAGAUCAAUGGCUCUAUGGUUAAAAGAGGGAGAUAAGAACAAGGAAGUUUUUUCAUGCGAUGGCAGGUGCUUGAGCUAGGACGAAUAAAAUCAAGACACUUAUGGUGGAGGGGCAAAUAGUCAAUGAUAAAGCGAAUGUGUGCAACUCCAUAAUUAAUUUUUAUACAGAUCUUUUGUCGAAGGAAGAUUGGAGAAGAUCAUCUAUGGACAAUCUCAUUUUCGGUUCAAUUUCUAAAGAGUCUAUGGAUUUGUUAGAGAAAGCUUUCUAGAUGGAAGAAAUCGUGAGCACAAUCAAAGAGUUGGGAAGUUAUAAAGCUCCGGGGCUAGAUGGUUUUCUGAUAGUGUUCUUUCAAAAGUUUUGGGAGCUAGUCAAGUCGGAUGUGGUGGCAUUUAUCAAUGAAUUCCACGAGAAAGGAACCAUAGCAUCGGAGUUAGGGGCUACGUUCAUAGUAAUGAUUCCAAAAACAGAAGAGGCCGAGAGUUUUAAAGACUUUAGGCUUAUAAGUCUCAUGGGAAGUCCAUACAAAAUUCUGUCAAAAGUAUUAACUCCUAGAUUUCGAGCGACUAUUGGAGAAAUUAUUUCUUUAAACCAAGGGGCAUUUGUGGAAGGGAGACAAAUAGUGGUCAGUGUAUUAGUGGCACAAGAAUGCAUUGACUUGUGUGUUAGAAAAGGGUCGAAAGACAUAAUAUGCAAGCAAGAUAUUGAAAAAACUUAUAAUCACAUAGAUUGGGACUUCUUGGAUUACAUGUUGGGUACGGUAGGCUGCGGAUUGAUGUGGUGGUCUUGGAUUCCAUUAUGUGUAAAUUUUGCAAGAUUCUCGGUUUUGGUAAAUGGAUCUCCGAAUGGCUUCUUUGCACCUUCUAGAGGGUUGAGAUAAGGAGAUCCUCUCUUCCCAUAUUUGUUUCUGGUGGUAAUGGAUGCGUUUAGUAGAAUUAUCGACAAAGGGGUAGUGGGGGGCUUGGUGAAGGGAUUUUGGGUGGAUAGUUUGGAAUUUCAAGGGUCAUGUUUACAGGAUGUAGAUGAUAUGCUAUCAUUGUGUGAGGCGGAUGAAGAAUUUGUUGAUCGGGUUUGAAAGUAAACAUCAGAAAAAGUGAGGUAUUGGGAGCGGGCAUUCCUAAGGAGGAGGCGGGGAAAUUCGUGACUAUUUUUGGCUGUGAGAGGGUUCCUUUCCUUAUCAUGGGCUCACACCGAGUAUUGGGAGGCCGUCGAAACAACUAUGGUAUAAGGUGAUAGAAUGCUUUGAAAGAAAGUUGUCCCAAUGGAAGAAUAGGCUUUUAUAUCUAGGUGGAAGGCUAACUUUGAUCAAAUCAGCAAUGUCUAACCUUCCAGUAUAAUUUAUGUUGUUAUUCAAGUGUCCGAAAUUAGUAUUGAAUAAGUUGGAGAAAAUUAGGUGAGGUUUUUUUGUGGAAAGGAGUGGAAGAAAAACAAAAAAGUUAUCUCUAAUAAAAUGGGAGGAUGUAUGUAAAUCGUGGGAUCAAGGGAGAGCUGGUUUAAGAAAUUUGAAAAUUAUGAAUUUGUCUUUGUUGGGAAAAAUGGGUAUGGAGGUUUGUAGCGGAAGAGGGGUCAAUAUGGUGAGAGGUGGUAGCGAGGAAGUAUGGGGUGGAAGAAAGGGGCAGCUGGAUGAAAUCAUCAUCAUUGUACAGGGCAUUCUUUAUAUGGAAAUCGGUGGUGUCAUUAAAAGAUGAAGUUUAGGAUGGAAUAGGAUUUUCAUUGGGGGACGGGAGGAGCAUUAGAUUUUGGGAGGAUCUGUGGGUGGGUGACCAGAAACUGAAGUUUUCCCACACUUGGUGGGGUUGGCAUUAGAGGCCGAUUUGACAGUGGAUGGAUGUUUUUCAAGGAGAAGAAGCGAUAUGGGCUCCACUUUGUAGAAGGAAUCGAAGCAGAGGUUGAAGAGUUUAUUAGUCUUCUUGGUCUGCUAAUCCAAAAUGCAUCCAGUAGUUUCAGAGCUGGACUCGAUGAAAUUGUUAAAAGACAGAUGUGGAAAAUUUUCAGUUUUAACUCCUACAAUUGUUCAAGUGGGGGAGCUAACAGAGUGGGGGUUAGUCCAACAACUUUCGUAUGGCGAUAUGGUGCUCUUCCAAAGUUAUCAGCUUUCGCUUGGUUAGUGAGUAAAAAGGAGGUGUUAACAGUUGACAAUCUUUGUAAGAGAAUGAUUAUUCUCCUGAAUAGUUGCUUGAUGUGUUAUCAAGAUGAGAAAUUGGUGGAUCAUCUCCUUUAUACAUUGUUCUUUUGUUAAGAGGAUGUGGAAUUGUUUCUUCAGCCUAUUCGGGGUAUAUAGGUGAUGCCAAAAUCCAUAGAUCUUUUAUUCUCCAUGUGGCAUGAAGGAUGUAAUGGGAAGGUGAGGAAAAAAGUUUGGGGCAUGUGUUUACUAGCGGGUUUAUGGUUCCUAUGGUUAGAAAGGAAUGAUUGAUGCUUCAAAAAUCGAAAGGGGAAGUCUUAGAAGUGUUUAAUAGGUCUUAAGCACAUGUAAUAGAAUGGGCGAUUGUAGCAAAGAUUAAAGUCCAAUUUCCGGAUAAUUGGUUGGAGUUGUUUCUUUUUCGAGCAUCUUUGUAAAUAUUUUGGCUGCAGCCUUACAUCAAUAAAAUUAUCAUCGUUUCAAAAAAAAAGUUGGGAUUUGUUCUUGGAUUGCUGUCCAUAUGAAUGCUGAAGUCCUAGGCAGAAUUGCUACCUUCCAAAUGUUGACUAGAAAGGCAUUUGAGGGGGUUUUUGAAACUUAUUUGAAGUAAGAUUUACCAGAAAGGAUCUGGAGGCCAAUGUCUUCCAGAUUUUUGUAUCUUCCUCAUUCGAGAAGAGACCUUGAAGGUCUCUUAGAUUUGCAUCAUUUUAGUAAUUUGGGCUAUUUCACCAUCCUCCGGAUCUCUUCUAAAUCUGAUGUCCCACACCACCUUCCCAUUAUGAACCAUUGCACACUCUUUCACCAGUCUGCCUCUAUGUCGAUUAUUCUGUAGAGGCUGGGGAAUGCUGUGGCGAGAGAUUUGUUCCCAAUUCGUUCGUCUUCCCAUAGGCGAAUGUUUUCACCCCCCUUUUUUUUUAAAA